UCUGGCGGCAGUAGCGCGGUGGUCCCACCUGACCCCAUGCCGAACUCAGAAGUGAAACGCCGUAGCGCCGAUGGUAGUGUGGGGUCUCCCCAUGCGAGAGUAGGGAACUGCCAGCC
rnacentral:rRNA from 1 species